UACGGGGGGAGCAAGCGUUGUUCGGAUUUACUGGGCGUAAAGGGCGCGUAGGCGGUCACUACAAGUCAGUUGUGAAAUCUCUGGGCUUAACUCAGAACGGUCAACUGAUACUGUUGGACUAGAGUGCAGAAGGGGCAACUGGAAUUCUCGGUGUAGCGGUGAAAUGCGUAGAUAUCGAGAGGAACACCUGCGGCGAAGGCGGGUUGCUGGGCUGACACUGACGCUGAGGAGCGAAAGCAUGGGGAGCGAACAGG
rnacentral:rRNA from 1 species